rnacentral:rRNA from 1 species
CUAUGCGAUCAUACCAGCACUAAAGCACCGGAUCCCAUCAGAACUCUGAAGUUAAGCGUGCUUGGGCGAGAGUAGUACUAGGAUGGGUGACCUCCUGGGAAGUCCUCGUGUUGCAUUCC